rnacentral:rRNA from 1 species
UACAGAGGGUGCAAGCGUUGUUCGGAAUUAUUGGGCGUAAAGCGCGUGUAGGCGGCAUAGCAAGUCGGGUGUGAAAGCCCUCAGCUCAACUGAGGAAGUGCGCCCGAAACUGCUGUGCUUGAGUGCCGGAGAGGAUGGCGGAAUUCCCCAAGUAGAGGUGAAAUUCGUAGAUAUGGGGAGGAACACCGGUGGCGAAGGCGGCCAUCUGGACGGUAACUGACGCUGAGACGCGAAAGCGUGGGGAGCAAACAGG